rnacentral:rRNA from 1 species
AGAACGAACGCUGGCGGCAUGCCUAACACAUGCAAGUCGAACGAGACCUUCGGGUCUAGUGGCGCACGGGUGCGUAACGCGUGGGAAUCUGCCCUUGGGUUCGGGAUAACAGUUGGAAACGACUGCUAAUACCGGAUGAUGUCUUCGGACCAAAGAUUUAUCGCCCAGGGAUGAGCCCGCGUAAGAUUAGCUAGUUGGUGGGGUAAAAGCCUACCAAGGCGACGAUCUUUAGCUGGUCUGAGAGGAUGAUCAGCCACACUGGGACUGAGACACGGCCCAGACUCCUACGGGAGCAGCAGUGGGAAUA